CAGCCAACAGUUAAUGCCUUCUGGUCUGGCUCCUGGGGAUCUAGAGGGAGUCCAUCUGCCACCAUAAGUGGGGAGUCCUGUCCAGGGCCAGUGUUUCAGUGGAGCCUUUGGAUUGGAGACCG
rnacentral:snoRNA from 1 species